rnacentral:tRNA from 1 species
UGAGAUGUAGUUCAGGUAGUAGAAUGCUUGCCUAGCAGACAUGAAGGCCUGGGUUCAACCCCAGCACCACAU